AUGUGGAUCGCCUGGCAACACAUGGAGCGGCCCUGGGUGGGAACGGAGUUGCCCUGCGACAAGGAUGACAGAGCCCUCUUCGCGACUGCAAUGAGCGUCGCGAUUGGCAAUGAAAGGACUGCUUCCUUCUGGCACUCCUCCUGGACAUGGUCUGGUACACUUGCCCAGCAGUUCUCCUCCCUACUCAAGCAUUCGCGGAGAAAGAACAGGAUGGUUAGGGAAGCGUUGACGGCGGACACAUGGAUUGCAGACCUUGCCCAUGGUCAAACUCAAGACCUGCUGCCCGCGUUCCUUGCCAUGCACAGAACCAUUGCGAAUACAGCAAGGGAGCUGGUGGACGACGCGGACGACACGAUCACCUGGAGGAGUCUGGGAGAUACUCUGCACGUUCAGCCUACACCAUGCAAUUCUUGGGAAGGGAUGAAUCAACACUCAACGGAGGCAUCUGGAAGGUCUGGGCGCCCGGGAACAUAG
rnacentral:rRNA from 1 species